ensembl:lncRNA
UUAAUAUGAAGUCUGUGUGUUGAACUAGUCCACUGUUCACUAAAGGAGACCCGAGUGUAGAACCGCACGUGGUAAUCGCAGUCCCGAGGCCGUCGCAGCGACCGUCGUCCCAGCGACCACGGCGAGAUAAAAAGGAAUUACUCCUCGUCAAAUUGUGUGCACUCGAAAAGAUAAGACAACGCAAACAAUAUUUACAACAACACAGAAAACAUCUCGAGACCGGACUCGAGUCCCGCAGCUCUAGAAGUCGAUAUCAAAAUAAAAUAGGAACGCCGUUAUCUUCACUGUCCAAAUGAACUAUGAAGACUAGUCGGGGCUGUGAAAAAAAUACAGCAAGGCAGACAGUCAAUAAAGCAACUACAUUUAUUUUGUAGGUGUGAAAAUAUUUCAGACAAGAUCAAACCGAUUCAAUGGUCAUCUGCACAAGGUGAUGGAAAAAAAGCUUUUUACCCCCCUAUGUUUUAACAGGCCACUGGCACUGAGUAGAGGUGUGUGCACGAUCGCCUUUAAAUUCCUAUUCCCGGGACCGUCCUGAAACACCUCCAGGUACUGUACUGAACUGACUCCAGGUACUGUACUGAAACACCUCCAGGUACUGUACUGAAACACCUCCUGGUACUGUACUGAACUGACUCCAGGUACUGUACUGAAACACCUCCAGGUACUGUACUGAACUGACUCCAGGUACUGUACUGAAACACCUCCAGGUACUGUACUGAACUGACUCCAGGUACUGUACUGAACUGACUCCAGGUACUGUACUGAAACACCUCCAGGUACUGUACUGAACUGACUCCUGGUACUGUACUGAACUGACUCCUGGUACUGUACUGAAACACCUCCUGGAUGCUGCUGUAGACAUCCUCCUGCCAUCAUUAAACUAUAAGGCGUUUCUGUGACGUGCUGCGCUCCCAGUUAGAGGAGAUGACCCGUUGAGUGGUCUUAAUAAAACAAAACAAAACCUCUAAUACAAACGCAAGACUCUUCAUCGAUCUUCGUUUCCUUUUCUAAAACAUUUACAGCGUCUAGCAUUGAAGCGCUCACUGCAGACUCACCACCUCCGGGUAAUAUCCCCAGACCCCGAGCACUGGGGAAGAUCAGUGAAGGCCUCGUUCAUAAUUGAUGGUGGAACCAGAGGAGCUGUUUUUCAGGAUUAUUACGAGAGCCGAGUCCAUUCCCACGUGUGCGAAGAGAGAAAUUCACGGCUCAAAGUUUCAUUCAACAUUACACACACAUCUAAGAGCUGAACCAGGCCCUGGGGAGUGUUCUUUAUUGAAACGCUAAAGGCCUUGAGAAGAUUAUUUUGUGGACCAGGACAGGUGCAUCAAACGCCGAACAGAAUAAUAAUCGUCCUCCAGCAGGGUUGUGUCUAUAAAACAGCAGUGCCGCGUCGCAUCGCCAUUCUGCUCACCGUUGUCGCUGUAGCUGUUUAAAAAAGGACAAGUAACGCUCACGAUCAACGAGCGGAUAGAUUUUCUUUGACGUGACUCACAUGGAGCUUAAUUUGCAUUUAAACGUGUGUCGCGUGCCCUCGCUCGUCCCCUCGCGGAUGAACUAUUGAGCGUAAGGUACCGCGAGUUUAUAAUAGUGGCGAUAAGUACACAUAUCGUCGAGUUCACACUUUGUCAGACGAAGUUAAAAUACAACACGGAUUGGUUGAGCGGUUUCGGAAAAAAAAACAACAUAAAGAAACCUUCGAAGAAGCUGCGUUUAACGUAGAUCGCAGCGGAGUUACGAAAUGCAAGUUUACGCUAACUAUCGGCGACAAGACUGACCAUCACUGUGGGUAAAUAAAUCAAAACAAAUCUGCAGCAGUAAAACAUGAUUAGUCGUGUAGUCAAAUUGUGACGUCGCCGCGUACAUGGUCCGAAAAAGAGCGCAGAAAAGAAAAGAAAAGAGGGGAAAAGCCUGACCUACAGUUACCACACUCCCGAAGAUCGCUGUCUGGAAGAAAAGCCAUUCUAGCCAGAGCUGUUAUGAGAACUCUUCCGUAACAUGACCAAUCAAACGGGCUGCACUAUUUCUAGCUCCGCCCCCCACGUCCCUGUUCGGCUUUUCAGCACUUGAUUACAGUAGAUCUCACUAAACGAUGCAAAUAACAGUGAAGAGAGUUUUACCUUGUCAUGUCAUAGUAAUAUUUGUGAUACUUUUUAGUCUUUCUCAUCGGUGCGUAAAAUCUCCCUCGGGUAUAUUGUAUUUAACCAUAGUCUAAGGUACAUGGUGAAUUAUUUAAUGUUUCAUCUGAGCUUUUUUAGUAGCGACGUAACGAGUAUGAAUACACCGUUGGAGAAUGAGCAGGUAAUCGUGUUCUAAACUGAUACAAACACUCAGUACGUUUACAUGGACCACGAUAAUCCGAUAUUAAUCCGAUUGAGACGAUAUUCUGAUUGAGAAACUAGCAUGUGAACAGAGAUUACUGACGACCUUAAUCUGAUUAAAGUCACACUCGGAGUAAACACAGAUGGAAUUACGUCAUGUGGCGUAUUCCUGUUUUAUUCACGUUAUCGACGUGCGUUACAGACGCGUACACGCCUUAAUCACACUAUUAACGUCGUGCGAGAGUUUUCACCGUAUUGUGCGACAGGACACGUACACACACGGCAGCGCUCGAGCGUUUUACGGCGAACAAGAGAACGCGUCCCAAACCGCGUACUUACGCGCGGUGUAGUAGGCGAGAUGCAUGUAUUUAUGUAAGUACGCGGUUCGGGACGCAGCCCACGGCUUCAAUCGGUCGUCUGUUUGCACGUACAGCGCGACUAAUAAUCAACCGCACUUGAAGCUUUCAUAAAAAAAUUAUAAAUGAAACACCCGAAACUGUAUAUGGUACCAUAACGAAGAUGAACUGUAUGUCGAUAGGUGAAAUUCUGGAGGGAUGACGGACAUAUAUGUAUAUUUAAUAAUAAUAAUAAUAAUAAUAAUAAUAA